rnacentral:rRNA from 2 species
AGGUGCGAUCAUACCAGCACUAAUGUAGUAGAUCCCAUCAGAACAACACUGUUAAGUGUGCUUGGGCGAGAGUAUUACUUGGAUGAGUAACCUCCUAGGAAGUCCUCGUGUUGCACCUC